rnacentral:rRNA from 1 species
CAUUAUCGAAUUAAACAAGGCGAAAGGUUGUNNUGGCCCCUCGGGGCANGUGAACGCCCGAGNCGAUUUUAAUCCAAACCAACACCUGUGAUACUUACCGUAGGGCGCUCCUUUGAGCGUCGCUAUUUCUUAUCAUAAACACUGUACGUCGAUAGAAUGUAAAUCAAAUAUCUUCGCCCUGAAAAAGCGUUGGUAAACUUUAUACAACUUUCAACAACGGAUCUCUUGGCUCUCGCAUCGAUGAAGAACGCAGCGAAAUGCGAUAAGUAAUGUGAAUUGCAGAUUUUCAGUGAAUCAUCGAAUCUUUGAACGCACCUUGCGCUCCUUGGUAUUCCGAGGAGCAUGCCUGUUUGAGUGUCAUUAAAUUUCUCAACGCCGAUUCGAUUUGGUUUUUACCAUGUCGUUUUGGACGCUUGGAUUUUGGAGCGUGCUGGCCCUUGCCCGGGUCGGCUCCUCUUAAAAGCAUUGGCGGAAUUACGUUGGUCUUUUCGGUCAUCAGUGUGAUAAUUAUGUUACGCUGUCGGCCUAGAUCAAAGUCCGCUUAUAAUGGUCUUUGGACAAAAUUUAACAACCAAAAAUUUGACCUCAAAUCAGGUAGGACUACCCGCUGAACUUAAGCAUAUCAAUAAGCGGAGGAAAAGAAACUAACAAGGAUUCCCCUAGUAACUGCGAGUGAAGCGGGAAAAGCUCAAAUUUAAAAUCUGGCGGUCUUUUGGCCGUCCGAGUUGUAAUCUGGAGAAGCGUUUUCCGCGUCGGACCGUGUACAAGUCUUCUGGAACGGAGCGUCAUAGAGGGUGAGAAUCCCGUNUUUGACACGGACUGCCGAUGCUUUUGUGAUGCGCUCUCGAAGAGUCGAGUUGUUUGGGAAUGCAGCUCAAAACGGGUGGUAAAUUCCAUCUAAAGCUAAAUAUUGGCGAGAGACCGAUAGCGAACAAGUACCGUGAGGGAAAGAUGAAA